CAUGCUGCUUUAGCACAUUAGUAUUCCAGAGCUCUCAAGUUGUGCUGGGUAAAGGAUGCUGAUAGCCAGGCUCUCAUUGGAUAGCUGUUAGCCAAUCAGAGUCAAGCAGCUUAGCUCAUUGAAUAUUAAUGAGACUUGGCAAAAAUUGAGCUGAGUCUUCCUGCUGGCUUUCUAUACCCCACUAGAAUGGCUUGGAACAAGAUAACCAUGGCAUUUUUUACACAGACAAAUGUUACAGAAUCCAUGGUAGAACUGCAGACAUUACCACAAAGUA